rnacentral:snRNA from 1 species
AUACAUUUCUCAGCCUUUUGGCUAAUAUCAAGUGUAGUAUUUGUUCUUAUCAAUUUAAGGGUGGUUGGAGAAAGAUCACCCCUGCCUAAAACAUCAAGAAUAACUCACU